UACGUAGGGGGCUAGCGUUGUCCGGAUUUAUUGGGCGUAAAGAGCGCGUAGGCGGCUCGGUAAGCCGGAUGUGAAACCUCCAAGCUCAACUUGGAGCGGCCAUUCGGAACUGCUGUGGCUAGAGUCUGGUAGGGGAACACGGAAUUCCUGGUGUAGCGGUGAAAUGCUUAGAUAUCAGGAGGAACACCAGUGGCGAAGGCGGUGUUCUGGGCCAGUACGUGACGCUGAGGCGCGAAAGCGUGGGGAGCGAACGAGGAUUGA
rnacentral:rRNA from 1 species